rnacentral:rRNA from 1 species
UUGGAGGGCAAGUCUGGUGCCAGCAGCCGCGGUAAUUCCAGCUCCAAUAGCGUAUAUUAAAGUUGUUGCAGUUAAAAAGCUCGUAGUUGAAUUUCGGGGUUAGUAGGUUGGUCAUGCCUCUGGUAUGUACUGGUCUCACUGAUUCCUCCUUCCUGAUGAGCCGUAAUGCCAUUAAUUUGGUGUUGCGGGGAAUUUGGACUGUUACUUUGAAAAAAUUAGAGUGUUUAAAGCAAGCUAACGCUUGAAUACAUUAGCAUGGAAUAAUGAAAUAGGACGUUCGAUCCUAUUUUGUUGGUUUCUAGGAUUGACGUAAUGAUUAAUAGGGAUAGUUGGGGGCAUUAGUAUUCAAUUGUCAGAGGUGAAAUUCUUGGAUUUAUUGAAGACUAACUACUGCGAAAGCAUUUGCCAAGGAUGUUUUCAUUAAUCAAGAACGAAAGUUAGGGGAUCGAAGACGAUCAGAUACCGUCGUAGUCUUAACCAUAAACUAUGCCGACUAGGAAUCGGAUGAUGUUAAUUUUUUAAUGACUCAUUCGGCGCCUUACGGGAAAC